rnacentral:rRNA from 1 species
CAGUCGCCGCGGUAAUACGAGGGGGGCAAGCGUUGUUCGGAAUUAUUGGGCGUAAAGGGUGCGUAGGCGGUUUGGCAAGUCUUAUGUGAAAUCUUCGGGCUCAACCCGAAGCCUGCACGAGAAACUACCGGGCUUGAGUAUGGGAGGGGUGAGUGGAAUUUCCGGUGUAGCGGUGAAAUGCGUAGAUAUCGGAAGGAACACCUGUGGCGAAAGCGGCUCACUGGACCAUAACUGACGCUGAUGCACGAAAGCUAGGGGAGCAAACAGGAUUAGAGACCCCGGUAGUCCCUGUCUCUUAUAA